rnacentral:tRNA from 1 species
GCCUCGAUACUUCAGUAGGGAGAGCCUUAGACUGAAGAUCUAACCGUCGCUGGUUUGACUCCAGCUCGAGGCA